rnacentral:rRNA from 1 species
UACGGAGGAGGCAAGCGUUAUCCGGAAUUAUUGGGCGUAAAGCGUCCGCAGGUGGCACUUCAAGUCUGUCGUCAAAGACUGGGGCUUAACUCUGGAAAGGCGGUGGAAACUGAAGCGCUAGAGUGCGGUAGGGGUAGAGGGAAUUCCCGGUGUAGCGGUGAAAUGCGUAGAGAUCGGGAAGAACAUCGGUGGCGAAAGCGCUCUACUGGACCGCAACUGACACUCAGGGACGAAAGCUAGGGGAGCGAAUGGG